GACGAACGCUGGCGGCGUGCUUAACACAUGCAAGUCGAACGAGAGCGUAGAGAAAGCUUGCUUUUUCUACAAUCUAGUGGCAAACGGGUGAGUAACGCGUAAACAACCUGCCCUACGGAUGGGGACAACAGCUGGAAACGGCUGCUAAUACCGAAUACGUUCCGAAAGUCGCAUGACUAUCGGAAGAAAGGAUGGCCUCUAUUUAUAAGCUAUCGCCGGAGGAGGGGUUUGCGUCUGAUUAGCUAGUUGGAGGGGGAACGGCCCACCAAGGCGACGAUCAGUAGCCGGUCUGAGAGGAUGAACGGCCACAUUGGAACUGAGACACGGUCCAGACUCCUACGGGAGGCAGCAGUGGGGAAUCUUCCGCAAUGGGCGAAAGCCUGACGGAGCAACGCCGCGUGAGUGAAGACGGCCUUCGGGUUGUAAAGCUCUGUUAUACGGGACGAAUAAUCUUGUGGUUAAUACCCAUGAGAAGUGACGGUACCGUAAGAGAAAGCCACGGCUAACUACGUG
rnacentral:rRNA from 1 species